rnacentral:rRNA from 1 species
AUUGAACGCUGGCGGCAGGCCUAACACAUGCAAGUCGAGCGGAUGAAGGGAGCUUGCUCCUGGAUUCAGCGGCGGACGGGUGAGUAAUGCCUAGGAAUCUGCCUGGUAGUGGGGGAUAACGUCCGGAAACGGGCGCUAAUACCGCAUACGUCCUGAGGGAGAAAGUGGGGGAUCUUCGGACCUCACGCUAUCAGAUGAGCCUAGGUCGGAUUAGCUAGUUGGUGGGGUAAAGGCCUACCAAGGCGACGAUCCGUAACUGGUCUGAGAGGAUGAUCAGUCACUCUGGAACUGAGACGCGGUACAGACUCCUACGAGAGGCAGCAGUGGGGAAUAGGGGAAAAUGGGCGAAAGCCUGAUACAGCCAUGCCGCGUGUGUGAAGAAGGUCUUCGGAUUGUAAAGCACUUUAAGUUGGGAGGAAGGGCAGUAAGUUAAUACCGUGCUGCUUUGACGUUACAAACAGAAUAAGCACCGGCUAACCUCG